UCAAAAACAAAACAAAACAAACAACAACAAAAAAAAGGCUCUGUCUCCAAAUAGAGUCACAUUCUGAGGUACUGGAGGUUAGGGUUUCCACAUAUGACAUUUUGGAGGACACAAUUAAGCUCAUACAGCUGCCUGGUGCAUCUUUCCCCCAGCUGCAGGGAGUGAUGGUUGAUAAUGACUCACAACUGCCCCAUUUUCUAGAGAGUUAUUUUUGGCCAACAGGGGUCGCCUUGUCUGGGAGGUUACUCACCCCCAGCAGCCUGCAAACAGUGCUGUGUGACUCUGUUGUAUAAAGGCUGGUCCUCUUGCCCCAGGGUGAGACCAACACUGUGGUGCUAUUCAUACUUCUGAGCUCUCUGUGGGAUCAUGCUAAGGCUAGAUUCUAGAUGAAAACCACAUCUUUGCUCAGCUUCUUCCUCUGUCACAUGUGGCUUCCCUCACUUCCUUCUCAUGGGAGCACUCCCCGAAGACAUCACGUGCAGCUGAAUCCCCGCCUCAGGCUCUGCUUCUAGGGAGCCUGACUUACAACAUUGUUAUCUUUUUUUUUGACACAGGGUCUUGCUA
rnacentral:lncRNA from 10 species